rnacentral:tRNA from 1 species
AUUAUUUUGGCAGAAUAGUGCAUGAGAUUUAGGUUCUUAAUAUGUAGAAUUUACAAAUAAUA